GAUGAACGCUGGCGGCGUGCCUAAUACAUGCAAGUCGAGCGAACGGACGAGAAGCUUGCUUUUCUGAUGUUAGCGGCGGACGGGUGAGUAACACGUGGAUAACCUACCUAUAAGACUGGGAUAACUUCGGGAAACCGGAGCUAAUACCGGAUAAUAUUUUGAACCGCAUGGUUCAAAAGUGAAAGACGGUCUUGCUGUCACUUAUAGAUGGAUCCGCGCUGCAUUAGCUAGUUGGUAAGGUAACGGCUUACCAAGGCAACGAUGCAUAGCCGACCUGAGAGGGUGAUCGGCCACACUGGAACUGAGACACGGUCCAGACUCCUACGGGAGGCAGCAGUAGGGAAUCUUCCGCAAUGGGCGAAAGCCUGACGGAGCAACGCCGCGUGAGUGAUGAAGGUCUUCGGAUCGUAAAACGCUGUUAUUAGGGAAGAACAUAUGUGUAAGUAACUGUGCACAUCUUGACGGUACCCAAGCAGAAAGCCACGGCUAACUACGU
rnacentral:rRNA from 1 species